AAGACCUCGCGCUAUUGGAGCGGCCGAUGUCCGAUUAGCUAGUUGGUGGGGUAAUGGCCCACCAAGGCGACGAUCGGUAGCUGGUCUGAGAGGAUGAUCAGCCACACUGGGACUGAGACACGGCCCAGACUCCUACGGGAGGCAGCAGUGGGGAAUUUUGGACAAUGGGCGAAAGCCUGAUCCAGCCAUGCCGCGUGAGUGAAGAAGGCCUUCGGGUUGUAAAGCUCUUUCGGCCGGAACGAAAUCGAUCGGGCUAAUACCUCGGUUGGAUGACGGUACCGGAAGAAGAAGCACCGGCUAACUACGUGCCAGCAGCCGCGGUAAUACGUAGGGUGCAGGCGUUAAUCGGAAUUACUGGGCGUAAAGCGUGCGCAGGCGGCUUCCUAAGUCAGAUGUGAAAUCCCCGGGCUUAACCUGGGAACU
rnacentral:rRNA from 1 species